GAUGAACGCUGGCGGCGUGCCUAAUACAUGCAAGUCGAGCGAACAGAUAAGGAGCUUGCUCCUUUGACGUUAGCGGCGGACGGGUGAGUAACACGUGGAUAACCUACCUAUAAGACUGGGAUAACUUCGGGAAACCGGAGCUAAUACCGGAUAACAUAUUGAACCGCAUGGUUCAAUAGUGAAAGGCGGCUUUGCUGUCUCUUAUAGAUGGAUCCGCGCCGUAUUAGCUAGUUGGUAAGGUAACGGCUUACCAAGGCAACGAUACGUAGCCGACCUGAGAGGGUGAUCGGCCACACUGGAACUGAGACACGGUCCAGACUCCUACGGGAGGCAGCAGUAGGGAAUCUUCCGCAAUGGGCGAAAGCCUGACGGAGCAACGCCGCGUGAGUGAUGAAGGUCUUCGGAUCGUAAAACUCUGUUAUCAGGGAAGAACAAAUGUGUAAGUAACUGUGCACAUCUUGACGGUACCUGAUCAGAAAGCCACGGCUAACUACGUG
rnacentral:rRNA from 1 species